UAUUAUCCUGUGUAUUAUCCUGGGGGGGGGGGGUGGUUGACCGCAAGUCUACUGUGUGUUAGGAAGAGGGGUCCGGUUGGUCGCUAUCCCAAUCGGAGUGGGCUCUGCUGGAAGUGGUCUAUGUUGCAUUAUGGGCUAUUGGGCCUGGUGUGGUGGGUCUUUUGUGUAGUCUCUGGAGUUAAGAGCGAAAGUCUAUAGGCUUUCCCUUCCCCGCUGCCUUGUCGCCUGGCCAUGGGCCUAUGUUGUCAUGUGAUAGCCCUCGAGUGGGCGGUAAGUACCUUGGGGGGGGAGAAUGUCUUCGAGAGGCUCUAUGGUGGUCCUCGAUAAAUAUAUAUAUAUUUUUUUUUUGUUCCUUCUCCCCUCUUUCUCCCCUGAUACCUUCGGGUGUAACAGCAUCGGUUCCAAAACUCAUGGUUAUGGUAGGCAACUGGCUGGCGGGGCAGGAGUCGUGUGGCACAUUUUGGCACGGUUCUUCUAUUUCGUCUAUGGGUUCGAUUACGUCCCUAUCUUAGGGUCCCUGUAAGGUGGGCCUAGGAGUGUAGAGCAAAGAGUGGGGGGGAAGCUUAUAUAAAUGGUCCUUUAGUUUUACGUGGCUGUGGAUAUCGUUAAUCUAUCCUGCUUGUGAAGUUGGGCUGUCGGGCACUGUGGCGGUCUGCCCUGUGGGGUACUUAUAUAUAAUUGCGUUCAGAUGUAGGAACCUAGGAUUGAUGGGGGGUGAGUGUAACAUAGUCAAAUGAUAUACAUAUUACCCGCCCUUGUGAUAGUCUUUCGUAUGUGUCUGUGGUUCUCCCUUGUCGUCCGCCUGUGCCUUGGAGGAUAAAUAAGAAAGUCCCGGUGUUGUGUGAGGUGAUGUCUCUGUAGUUUUGUCCGGUUUCUUCUUCUUUUAGAUCUGAGGUAAGUCCAAGACAUCCCGUGAUAAGUUGUUUUGUUUUUUUUUCGCUUUGUGUCCAUCUCCUUGGUAGUGCUCACAUGAAAAAGUCAAUCAUCUUCGAGUCCCGAUUCUUUUAGGCCUAUGUCUCGAAUUAGAGCACCUUUGAUCAUGGGUGGCUGUGGUACCUUUGGCGCUCGGGUAUUCUGCUGUCUUGGGUGGUUUACUGGGCUAUUGUCGUCUUGUGGAUGACGGUCUUAGGUCUCCGUGUAGCAUGCUAUCAGUGCCUUCUGUGUGUCUCUUCCUCGUUUCCUGCUGUCCGCUGGGGCGCUAGGGUGCCGGAGGCAGCCCAUAAGGUGGCAUCGGCCGUACCAGUCGCUGAUGUGUGUCAUAGGGAGGUCCAAAGCUCUCUGGAAUACUGGGACAUCUUGUAUGGUGUGGAUGCUGUGUUGGUUGCCAUUGAUCGUGGUGCUUAGAGCAAACGGGAAUCCCCACCUGUAUCUGAUGUUCCUCAUCCUCAGCUGGUCUGUGAUGGGUUUCAAUGAUCGUCUGGCUUGAAGUGUAAGCCACGAGAGGUCUGGGUAUAUACUGAUUGGGUCACUGUGAAAUAGUAGCGGCUGGUUGGAAUUCCGUAGUGCUGCCAGUGCUGCCAGAAUAUCUUCUUUGCACCUGUAGUAGUGUAGCCUGCAUAUUACAUCUCUAGGCCUGUCUGUGUUCAGGCCCCUGGGUCGCAGGGCUCUAUGGGCUCUGUCAAAUAUUAUGGUAGAGUCAGGCGCUCUGUCAAGGAUUAGAUUGAAAAGCUCAGUUAGCACUGCUAUAAUGUCUUCCUUGUUAUUUUCAGGGAUGCCUCUCACUCUCGGGUUAUUCCUCCUUCCCCUAUUAUCCAGAUCAUAUAGGGAACGUUGUAUCUCUGUUAGCUGGGUAGUGUGAGCUUUCACAUUGUCUUGGAAGGAUUGUAUUUGUAUUUGGGUGACAUCCCUGUCUUCUUCAAGUGACCCAAUCCUAUCCCCCAUGUGGCACAUGUCUGCCCCUAUGGCGUCAAGUUUGCUUUGGAAGGACAUCUCCAACUUACCCAGCAUGUUCGCCAGGUCUUGCUUGGAUGGCAUGUUGAGGAGGAGGUCCCUGAUUUCCGUGUCCCCGGGCACUCCGGACAUUUCGGAGUCUGCUGGGCUGGAUGGCGGGGAGUUGUGGUGAGGUGAGUCCGGCGCCAUGUUUGGGCCUAUCCCGCCUGGCUGGAGUUCCGCAUUGUCGCAGAAAUAUUUGGUGAGGGCCCCUGGUUUCCCCGUCGGCUGCUUACCGGAGGGGUGAGGGGUGGAUGCUGCUCUCUUUGGGUGUCCCAUCUUUAGUUUAUGCGCCCGAUGUUCGCGGAUUCACUCCUUUAGGAGAGGAGCUUGUUUAGCUUGCGGCCAUCUCGUUCCGUGGUUGGCUCCGCCCCCUAAAUUAAGUGAUUUUUGGUGCAUGGACUUUGCCCCUUUUUUCCUCAUUAAGACCUUUAUGAAGUUGUUUACAUUAG
rnacentral:lncRNA from 1 species